GCCAGGCGUAGUGGUGCGCGCCUGUAGUCCCAGCUACUCGGGAGGCUGAGGCAGGAGAAUCGCUUGAACCCAGGAGGUGGAGGUUGUGAUGAGCCAAGAUCUCGCCACUGCACUCCAGCCUGGGUGACAGAGCGAGACUCUGUCUCAA
rnacentral:SRP_RNA from 1 species